UACAGGGGGGGCAAGCGUUGUUCGGAAUUACUGGGCGUAGGGGGCUUGUAGGUGGCCAACUAAGUCACACGUGAAAUCCCCAGGCUUAACCUGGGAACUGCGUGUGAUACUGGAUGGCUUGAAUCCGGGAGAGGGAUGCGGAAUUCCAGGUGUAGCGGUGAAAUGCGUAGAUAUCUGGAGGAACACCGGUGGCGAAGGCGGCAUCCUGGACCGGUAUUGACACUGAAAAGCGAAAGCCAGGGGAGCAAACGGG
rnacentral:rRNA from 1 species